rnacentral:rRNA from 1 species
CGGGGGGGGCAAGCGUUGUUCGGAAUUACUGGGCGUAAAGGGCUCGUAGGCGGCCAACUAAGUCGGACGUGAAAUCCCUCGGCUUAACCGGGGAACUGCGUCUGAUACUGGAUGGCUUGAGAUUGGGAGAGGGAUGCGGAAUUCCAGGUGUAGCGGUGAAAUGCGUAGAUAUCUGGAGGAACACCGGUGGCGAAGGCGGCAUCCUGGACCAACACUGACGCUGAGGAGCGAAAGCCAGGGGAGCAAACGGGAUUAGAUACCCCGGUAGUCCUGGCCCUAAACGAUGAAUGCUUGGUGUGACGGGUAUCGAUCCCUGUCGUGCCGAAGCUAACGCAAUAAGCAUUCCGCCUGGGGAGUACGGUCGCAAGGCUG